AGUGAACGCUGGCGGUAGGCCUAACACAUGCAAGUCGAACGGCAGCACAGUAAGAGCUUGCUCUUACGGGUGGCGAGUGGCGGACGGGUGAGGAAUACAUCGGAAUCUACUUUUUCGUGGGGGAUAACGUAGGGAAACUUACGCUAAUACCGCAUACGACCUACGGGGGAAAGCAGGGGAUCUUCGGACCUUGCGCGAUUGAAUGAGCCGAUGUCGGAUUAGCUAGUUGGCGGGGUAAAGGCCCACCAAGGCGACGAUCCGUAGCUGGUCUGAGAGGAUGAUCAGCCACACUGGAACUGAGACACAGUCCAGACUCCUACGGGAGGCAGCAGUGGGGAAUAUUGGACAAUGGGCGCAAGCCUGAUCCAGCCAUACCGCGUGGGUGAAGAAGGCCUUCGGGUUGUAAAGCCCUUUUGUUGGGAAAGAAAAGCAGCAGGUUAAUACCCCGCUGUUCUGACGGUACCAAACGAAUAAGCACCGGCUAACUUCGUG
rnacentral:rRNA from 1 species